rnacentral:lncRNA from 1 species
CUGUGCAGCAUUUUCCUGAUAGCUAAUUGAUGGAGAAGGGCCCAGUCCACUGUGGGCGGUGCCAUCCAUUUGGUAGGGGGACCUGGGCUGUGUAAGAAAGCUAGCUAAACAGGAGCCUGGGAGCCAGCCAGUGAGCAUCAUGCCUCCACAGUCUCUGCUUCGUUUCCUGUUUGAGUCCCGAUCCUUUGGAUAAAAUAAUGCCUUUCCUCUCCUACCUUGCUUCUGGCCAUGGUAUUUAUCACAGCAACAAAAAAAAAAAAAAAAGGCAAGGCCCCUUGUGUAACCCCUUGACCUUUCAAGGUCUUCUUGUCUUCUUAGUGUGCUAGGAGAUUCAAGUGUGGCUGCCCUGGUUUUUGCAGAGCGGGGAAGCAGCAGUCAAUGAAGGGUUGUCUCACACUCGGUGUCUCUGUGAGAACAGUGUGACUUGGGGGGAUGUCAUGGUCUUGGGAAGGUCAGUGUUGGGUUAGAUUUCGAGACUGCCUGAGGGAUAUGCAGAAGCUCAGAGUGAAACAGAAAAGGGGAAAUGGAAAGGUUGAGUGACAGCUGGCAUGCUAGACUGAUGGUGAGGACACUUCCCAGUGCUGAGUAGCCAGCCUGGUCAGCAGAGGUACCCGGCCCAUCAGUCAGGCCCAGUUACUCACACUGUGCUGAUUUAUGACCCCACUAACAGGGUAGAGAGUUUGCUGAGUCCUUCCUUGAUUUGUGGGAUUUAGGUGAGAAUCGCCACAACCCCAUGUUACUCCGUGUUCCACUGCUACACUGAAUACCCAAAGCUGACAGCUUACAAAGAGAAAAGGUUUUCCUGGGCCGUGGUGGCACAUGCCUUUCAUCCCAGCACUUGGGAGGCAGAGGCAGGAGGAUCUCUGAGUUCGAGGCCAGCCUGGUCUACAGAGUGAGUUCCAGGACAGCAAAAGCGACACAGAAAAACCCUGUCUCAAAACAAAACAAAACACUGAAAGGAAAUAAAAGAAAAAGAGAGAGAGGGAGGGAGAGAGAGAGAGAGAGAGAGAGAGAGAGGAAGAAGGAGGAGGAGGAGGAGGAGGAGGAGGAGGAGAAGGAGAAGAAGAAGAAGAAGAAGAAGAAGAAGAAGAAGAAGAAGAAGAAGAAGAAGAAGAAGAAGAAGAAGAAGAAGAAAGAGAAAGAGAAAAGAGGGAGGGGCAGAGGGAUGGGGAGGGGAGAGGGAGAAGAAGGGGGGAGUGGGAGAAGAGAGGAAAGGUUUAUUUUGUCCCAGAAUUUUACAGUGCAAUGACCAACUGUGCCUUGUCGGGCUAGUGGCAAGGCAGGCCCCACCUAGUGGCACAAAGUGGGCAAGAAUCAUGUGAGAGGGGUACACCAUAGAGUUCCACAGCCCUCUUCAAGGACACACACACACUCCAAUGACCUGACAGCCUCUCUGUCUAGGCACCACUGUCUAAAAAUGUUAUCCUGGGGAGUAAACUUAUACCUCAUGGGUCUUGGGGACCGCUUAAGAGCCGAGCACUCCAUAACUAGACUUUCAGGGUGAGUGAAGAAAGACAUUAUGAAGGAUCAGGCAGAGCGCUCCAGUGCCUCCCUCAGCGAAGGUAGAGUACUCCAGUGCCCCCCUCAGCGCAGGCCAAUCGCUCCAGUGCCCCCCUCAGCACUCACUUCCUCCAGUGCCACCCACUCUUCCCAGAUUCCAGCAGGAACAGGAGUGUGGGAGACCAGGCUGGUGGCUGGCUUUGCAGAUAGACUUGGAGUGUACGAGUCUGGCAUCCCAAGUCCAGUACCCGGAGCCUGUGGGAAGGUGGAAGGAGAGAACUGAGCCCAGAGUUGUUCUCUGAUCUCCAUGUCACCUCAUAGUACAAGCAGCCACAUACACAUUCUGCAUGCCCACAGAGAAGUAAGUAAAUAAGUAAAUAAAUAAAUAAAUAAAUGUCUACGCCAGUCUGUGGGGGUUGGAAAGAUAGCUCAGGUGUCAAGAACUCUGGUAUUGCAGAGGGCCUUAGUUCAGUUCCCUACACCCACCGCAGUGGCUUAUAGCCAGCAGCCUCCAGCUCCAGCCCUAGGGGACCCACUACCUUCUGGACUCCAAGGAUACACACACAGACACACAUAAUUAGGAAUCUGGGGUUUUUUUAAGCAUAUAAGGACAAUUCUCAAAGACAAUUGGAUUUGUCAAAGAAAAUUCAAAUUGGCCUUAGAAGACUAUAUGUUGGUUUUCUUUUUUUCAUUUUAAUGAAAAUAAAGUCCCUGACAUGUGGUGCCUGCCUGUAAUCCAAGCACUUGGAAGGCUGCGGCAGGAGGAUAGCAACUUGAGGCUAUCUGGAACUACAUAGCAAGGAUAUCUCAAAAGAGGGCACUGAAAAGAUGGCUGUCAUAGUGUUUCCAUUGCUGUGAGCAGCCACCAUGACCAAGGCAACUCUUAUAAGGACAACAUUUAAUUGGGGCCGGCUUACAGGUUCAGAGAUUCAGUCCAUUAUCAUCAAGGCAGGAGCAUGGCAGCAUCCAGGCAUGCAUGGUGCAGGAGUAGCUGAGAGUUCUACAUCUUGAUCCAAAGGCAGACAGGAGAAGACUGUAUCAGAGGCAACUAGGAGGAGGGUCUUCUUGCCCACUCCCACAGUGACACACUUCCUCCAGCAAGGCCACAUCUACUCUAACAAGGCCACACCUCCUCAUAGUCCUGCUCCCUGGGGCAAGCAUAUUCAAACUGCCACAAUGGCUCGCUCCCCAGUGGCCAUAUCUGAGACAUGGUAUGUUUACACACAUGCAUUCUCUGAAUGUGUGUGUUCUCUGGCCAUUGCCAAGACUUUCUGUGUGUAGUUACCAGCCAGUGUCCACACUUUUCAGAGGGGGAACUGAUGGUGGCCCGAUGUCACCCUGUGAGUCCAGGCAGACUGAUAGAAAGCCCAUUACUUAUUCAGAAGUAUAGCCUUCUGGGGGCAAAUGAUAAGAAAGCCUGCAGGGGUUAGGGGCGUGGUAAGGCCUGAACUCCUGCCAACAGUGGGAGUCACUGAACCCACAGCCCUAUUACUAACGAAAUGCGCUGCUUAGCUUCAGCCUACUCUUCUAGGUGCCCAAUGGUGUCAUACGAAUUUACAUUAUAGAGUAAGUAUCAGAGUUGACUUCCAAAUUGGUGUAUGUCUGCACUGGGGCUAGGGAGGCCUAUGCAGCAGUUACAGGGCAACAGAGCAAAGAGGAAACAGUCCCACGUGCCUUCCGAUUGGAGGAUGACAGUGGUUUUUGGUGUCUUUUUGUGAUGAUACUGACCGAUGGUACAAGGUUAUGAUGGGGGACACCAGAUGAGAAGCUGUGAAGGUCACCCUCAGGCAUAUGGUAAGUAGGUUGUCUGUCACCUGCUUGAGGGGAAUUUACCUCAGAGACCAGAACCUAGACCAAUGGGAGAAAAUGACCAGCAACUGGAAAAAAAAAAGGACCAUCCUGUUCCAAGCGGCAUGGGAGAAGGACCAGAGUGCAAAACUGCUUUCAAAGGUUGCCCCUGUGUUAGUUUGGGACUGGACUGGAUGCAGUGGAGGAGGGGCAGAUUGUUGCUUUAGAGAAAAUGGAGCUGUCUAGCACACUAGAGUGAGUGGGGAUGGAGCUUGGUGGAAGAGCACGUAGCUAAACAUGUUUGUUACCCUGGGUUUAAUCCUCACAACCACACAACCACAGAAACAAAAACCAAAAAAAAUCCAGGUGAGAGAAAAUGGGGACCUGAGCCAGGGUGAAAGGGUGUGGGUAGUUGUUAGGGGUGUGGCUAGUGUAUUGUUCUUGCCUAGAUGCACACAUCCCUGUGUUAGAUCCCCACUACCACUUUUAACUGAGUGUGAUGGCACCCCUGUAAUAUUAGGUGGGUGAAAGGGGUUCAAGGUCAUCCUUGGCUACAUAACAAAUGGAAGGCCAGCCUGGGCUAGAGAACCUGCCUCAACAAGAGUUGAGGAGAAGAGGAAAGAGAGGGACUGAACUCGGCUAGAAUCAAAACAACGUAUUAGAUAGCAUAAGUUAAAGAUCAUCCAUUGGUACAUCAAUGGCGACAUUUAGCUGAUUUUCCCAUUUCUGUGAUCAAAUACCUGACACAACCAACUUGGAAGGAAGGAAGGAAGGAAGGAAGGAAGGAAGGAAGGAAGGAAGGGAGGGAGGGAGGGAGGGAGGGAGGGAGGAAGGGAGGGAGGGAGGGAAGAAUUGUGCUGGCACAGACCUUUAAUCCAGCACUCAGGAGGCAGAGGCAGGCGGAUCCUUGAGUUCAAGGUCAGCCUGGUCCAUAGAUCGAGUUUCCCAUCUCAAGAAAGACAGAAGAAGAAGAAGAGGAAGAAGAAGAAGAAGAAGAAGAAGAAGAAGGAGGAGAAAGAAAAAGAAAAAGAGG